UACGGAAGGUGCAAGCGUUAUCCGGUUUUAUUGGGUUUAAAGGGUGCGUAGGCGGCUUGUUAAGUCAGUUGUGAAAUCCUAGUGCUUAACGCUAGAACUGCAAUUGAUACUGAUAGGCUUGAGUUAAGAAGAGGUAAGUAGAAUUUAUGGUGUAGUAGUGAAAUGCUUAGAUAUCAUAAGGAAUACCAAUAGCGUAGGCAGCUUACUGGUCUUUAACUGACGCUGAGGCACGAAAGCGCGGGGAGCAAACAGG
rnacentral:rRNA from 1 species